AGACAACUGGACAAGUGGGCCUUGCGUGUACAGAUGGAACAACCAUGGCGGCCAGGUUGAGUGGCCCAAAAUGGAAGACUGUUGGCAACAGGUUACCCAUCGCAUAUUCCAUGAUAGCCAGCCUCUCGAGAUGAAUAUCAUGAAUCCCCAGAGACAACUGGACAAGUGGGCCUUGCGUGUACAGAUGGAACAACCAUGGCGUGGCCUUGAGUGGCCCGGGAUGGAAGACUGUUCGCAACAGAGAACCUGUCGCAUAUUCCAUAACAACUGUCCUGGCAAGACAAGGCAUGUGAGCCCCCAGGGACUUCUGGGCAAUUGGCCCUUCGAUGUACAGGUGGAUCACCCAUGGCGCCAGAUUGAGUGGCCCAGGAUGGAAGACCAUUGGCAUCGGAGACCCAUCACAUAUUCCAUGACUCCCAGCCUGGAAAGUCGAGGCCUACGAGCCGCCACGGGCCACUGGACACGCGGCCCUUGGUGGUACAGGUGGAACACCAAUGGCUGUGCAUUUGGAGCGAAGGACAACAGUGGCAGAUUUAUGGACCAUCCAACAGUUUUCCUCUCCCAUAAUCAGUUCCUCUCUGGCGGAAUUCCAGAUCCACAAGUGAGAGUUACACAACUGGAAGUGAUGUUAGAGAGAAGGGAUAUUUUGCUGCUUGGAAUUCCACUGCCACCCCCAAAGAAGUGCUGUUUUCGUCACUUGUAUGAGCUCCUUUCUCUGGGAAAAUUCACAGCAUUGCUUUCUAGAGACUGACAUGUUCCAAAAACUAGGUUUCAUAUGAAUGAACUUAUUCCUUCCCCUUGAGAUGAGACAUAAAGAAAAAUGUUAGGAAUAAUUCUGCCUCCAUCCUCAAAGGCCUGUGUGAAUUCUCACAAAGAAGAUGACUUCCUGGGAGCUCUUUUGAGCAUGAAUGAUACCAGUAAACCCCUGAAGGAAGACUCUCAGACAGAGCCCUUUUGCCUCCCUCUUGUCUGAGGGCUGCCCUCUGAAGGUGAUGACCACAGAGACAAGGUGGAUUUGUUACUGUAGGUGCCAUUACUUCUGCCACCAGCUUCUCCAGUACAGUGACAGUCUUCUUUGUGCAUGGAAACUCUGCUCUUUCCUGUGUUGCAGUGGAUACCUCCUGCAGAUAAGAAAUGACAGACAACAUCUGCAAAGGAAGGAUUAUCUGAGUGCAGCCUGCUGCUCCUGGUGCAACUGAUGUCAGCCUUGGUGCCGCAGCUGGGUAGACGGAAACUCAAGUCCUUUACAGCUUCCUUAUUUCCAGAAAGCUUUGGAGGUAAGACUACUUAGAUUCCUGUGCAUAGAUGCACUUCAUGGGGCAUGCCUCACUUGGGUUGAAGAGAAGAAUUCAUAUGGUUCUGAAGAGAGAUGAUCACCUAAAAAUCAUGUUCGAUAGAAGUAUGCUGAGGCCCAUUGGAGAUUGCAGCCCAGAAGCUAGAGGUCAGGGACCUUUCUUUUUUCUCUGAAACCCUGGGAUUUAGGUGUGGAGGCACCCUACCCCUUGAGGAAAGCCCUUGAGUCUCUACACAGACAACACCCCAGAGGAAGGAAGAUCUGAGCGUGGCCUGCUGCCCCUAGGGCAAUCGAUAUCAGCCUUGAUCCAGCCUUUGGUGUGGACAGAAACUCACAUCCUCUGGGGCAUCCUCCUUUCCAGAAAGCAUCAGAAUCAGACAUUCUGGAGAAGGCCUCACUGUAACCUGAACAAUUCAAGACAGACAACGUCCCCAGAGGAAGGAAGAUCUGAGUGUGGCUUGCUGCUCCUGGGGAAUAAAUGUCAGCCUUGGUGCAGCACCUGGGGUAGCCAAAAACUCACAAUCUUUGGGACAUACCCAUUUCCAGAAAGCUUCAGAGGUCAAAAACUAGAACAAGUUACCGUGCUUUCAAGUGAACAAGUUAUUUUCAAGGAAGGAAAGUGAGCAGCUACACUGCAGGACUGGAAUCAGGACUUCCGCUUCAGAGGAUGGGGUUGACCAUUCUGUGGGUGACGGAGAAGAAUUAAUAUUAUCACUAACCAUACACUCUGAAGUUGACAGAUACUGCCAUAUGCAGCCAAGUAAUAGGCUGGAAUAAAUCUUACACGGGAACAGGAAAUAGUUACAGAGUAAUUAAAAAACAGAGUGGGAAGAAGGCAACUUACAAGCAGACAAGAGAAACAUAACUACUGCUGCUGCUGCUGCUGCUAAGUCUGCUUCAGCCGUGUUCGACUCUGUGCAACCCCACAGAUAGCAAGCAGCCCACCAGGCUCCUCCAUCCACAGGAUUUUCCAGGCAAGAACACUGGAGUGGGUUGCCAUUUCCUUCUCCAAAACAUACCACUAGUAGUCACCAAAAUUUACUUCCUCUCCUUUCUGGGUACAGAGUUGGACACAUUCUCCUUCUUUCCCAGCUUUCUGAGAUAAGUGCUACUUUCAGGCCAAGGCUCUUCUCCCUCUGGCUAAUGGGAUGACACUCCUAGGAUGAUUCUGAAAAUUGUGCUGAGGAUAAUAGUUGCCAAUAAAGCUCCAUCUUUGAAUGACUGCGUGAACCAGAACUCUCUGCCAAUCCAGGAUAUUACAAUUGUUGGACGAGCUAGAAAUAAAUUUCCACUGUUUGUAAUAAGACAGCAUUCGUUCUGGAGUCUACUUAAUAUUGCACUCUAGCUGAUCCUUACAAGAAGCCUUUCAUUUCCUCCACCUUGACUUCAGUCUUUAAAAUACAAGUAAUGGUUAUCUCCCCUAAACUGAUGUUACCACUGUUUUUUCAGCUUGUAAUAUUUAAAUCCAUGGGAGUUUAUUAAGAUUUUCUAUUAUAUCCAUUCUUCCCUAUAAAGAAAUAAUAUCCUAAGGCAAAAAUGACAGGAGAUCAUGAAAGGCCAGACUGAAUUCAACUUACUACACAUUUUCACAGUUACAAAAAUGCUAACAAGGUGAAAUGCUAAUGAAAUCAAAGAAGAAAUAAAAAAGAAGAGAACACUUCAAGGACUUUUUGAGAUAAAAAUAUCUGGAGCAAUGGAUUGUUACAGACAUGACAAAGUCUGUUGCAGUUUGCUGGAAUUCAUGUUACCUCCCUCUCAUAUCUGUCUUUAAAUAAUGUGGCUUAGGCCUACUUAGAAGCUUUUGUUAUUAGACUUUUUUAUAUCUGCCAUUAUCCUCUUUCAGAAAAACCAGACAACGCUAUGACUCUCGUUAUCUUUAAUGACAAAAUUUAAAUCUAUAUGUAUAUUCCCUUGAGAGGAAUAGAGUAAAUAUAGAGAUUAUGGAAUGCAUGAGUACUUAAGAAGACUGCCACUGCAUGAGAUACAUUAGAAAAAGAAAACCUCCAUGUGUUCCUUCUCUCACACUUUCCUUACUCAAGAAAAAAAUACAAGCCCACACACAAAAAUGAACCUUAACACACUAUUUUCUAAAACUCCAAGUUCUGAUCUUACUCAAAUGUUGAUUUAUUUUGUGCACCUUAAUCUGAGCUUUUAUAGUGUUUGACCUUUUCAAAGAAGGUACUGAGUGACUGAAGCGGAAAACAAUGUAAAACAAUCAAACUCAAAAAGUAGCAAACCCCAAUGCUUGGGAACAUCACACAAUACAGCAAUGUGUUGACUUAACACUUCAUAAAGCUCCCAUGAAGUUCAACUAAGAAAAAAAAAACAACUUUAAAAUUAAAAUAACUAUAAUGUACUCAUUCCAUGAUUGAUUAUCAACUAAAAAAAAAAAUCAGAAAAAUCCAUCCUAUUAUCUGAAAUAAGCCUAUAUAAUUACAAAUUUUCACUACCAAAGCUGAGAAAUAUACCUCAGUAACAGUACUUUUUCUGUUAUGACUUGCAUGAAUAUCAAAUAGUGUGUGCUCAGUCUUGUCUGACUCUUUGUGAUCCCAUGAGCUGUAGGCCAUCAGCCUCUGUCCGUGGAAUUUUCCAGGCAGGAAAACUGGAGUGGUUUGCCAUUUCCUACUCCAGAAAUUCUCUCUGACCCAGGGAUCAAACCCAAAUCUCCUGCACUGGCAGGCAGAUUCUUUACUACUGUGCCACUGGGAAAACCCCAAGGUAUAAAAGAAAAUGUUUUAACAGUCAACAAUUUAUUGUAUAUUAUAAGUACUUCAAUAAAAUAAAACUUCAAUAACAACAAAUUAUGGGAUACAAUAAUAAAAUAAAUGUAUUUUAAAUGAAAAUACAUAAGCAAAAGUGCUUCAAUGCUAUGG
rnacentral:lncRNA from 1 species